ACUUCGGUUCGGAUUUCGGUUCGAGUUUUCCGGGUCGGAUUCGGGUGCGGCUUCGGGUAUCGGGUAAAGUGCCCACCCCUAAGCGUUCGAGGAAUGAUUGCUUCAGAUGUUGCUGAUUAAGUUCUCCGUCAAGUUGAUAAAUUGGUCAUGAAUAAUAAGCAUGCUGCAGCACGUGAGAAUUUGUCAGUCAAGGGUGAUGAUGAAUCAAUUGAUGGGGAGUUGCUCAAAAGCGCUUACACCGUAACACUAGCACCAUUUGACAUUUAUACAUUCUCUCUGGUAACCAUGCAUCUGACAGUGGGUUGACUCCAGUGUGAAAAAUGGUUUCAGUGAUUGGUGCUCUACUUGAAGGAGGCAUAGAAGUGUGAGCCUCUAAUGUCAUUUUCACAAACCCAGUGUUUAUUAUAUGGACAUUUUGAUGAACAUGAAACCUCCUUGAGCUUCUUCAAGGGUACGUGGAAAAAGGGGUCAUCGGAAAGUGUUUCAUUUGGCGCAGAAACAUGAGAUAACAUUGCUGUCUCCACUUUUCCGUUGUUUUAUAUAUUUUAAAACUAUACAUGAUGCAUCUUAUGCUUUAGCGUGAAUUUGUUAGCAGAAGAUGGUUUACA